UACGAAGGGGGCUAGCGUUGCUCGGAAUUACUGGGCGUAAAGGGAGCGUAGGCGGACAGUUAAGUCAGAGGUGAAAGCCCAGGGCUCAACCUUGGAAUUGCCUUUGAUACUGAUUGUCUUGAGUACGGGAGAGGUGUGUGGAACUCCGAGUGUAGAGGUGAAAUUCGUAGAUAUUCGGAAGAACACCAGUGGCGAAGGCGACACACUGGCCCGUUACUGACGCUGAGGCUCGAAAGCGUGGGGAGCAAACAGG
rnacentral:rRNA from 1 species